UACGGAGGAUGCGAGCGUUAUCCGGAUUUAUUGGGCGUAAAGAGCGCGCAGGUGGUUAAUUAAGUCUGAUGUGAAAGCCCCCGGCUUAACCGAGGAAUUGCAUCGGAAACUGUGUUUCUUGAGUGCAGAAGAGGAGAGUGGAACUCCAUGUGUAGCGGUGGAAUGCGUAGAUAUAUGGAAGAACACCAGUGGCGAAGGCGGCUUGCUGGGCCUGUACUGACAUUGAGGCACGAAAGCGUGGGGAGCAAACAGG
rnacentral:rRNA from 1 species